rnacentral:rRNA from 1 species
UACAGAGGGUGCGAGCGUUGUUCGGAAUCACUGGGCGUAAAGCGCACGUAGGCGGAUUGUUAAGUCAGGGGUGAAAUCCUGGAGCUCAACUCCAGAACUGCCUUUGAUACUGGCGAUCUUGAGUCCGGGAGAGGUGAGUGGAACUGCGAGUGUAGAGGUGAAAUUCGUAGAUAUUCGCAAGAACACCAGUGGCGAAGGCGGCUCACUGGCCCGGUACUGACGCUGAGGUGCGAAAGCGUGGGGAGCAAACAGG